rnacentral:miRNA from 1 species
UACAUCAUUGAUCUUGCUGUCUCAA